GAGGAGCUCACCCUGGAGAUCCUGGAUCGCCGGAACGUGGGCAUCAGGGAGAAGGACUAUUGGACCUGCUUUGAGGUCAACGAGAGGGAGGAGGCAGAGCGCCCCCUGCACUUUGCGGAGAAGGUGCUGCCCAUCCUGCACGGGCUGGGCACGGACAGCCACCUGGUGGUGAAGAAGCACCAGGCCAUGGAGGCCAUGCUGCUGUACCUGGCCAGCCGUGUCGGUGACACCAAGCAUGGCAUGAUGAAGUUCCGUGAGGACCGCAGCCUCCUGGGCCUGGGCCUGCCCUCAGGUGGCUUCCACGAUCGCUACUUCAUCCUCAACAGCAGCUGCUUGCGGCUCUACAAGGAGGUCCGGGCUCUCAGGAUGGCACAGCAGUGGGGGACAACUGUAGACUCUCAAGACCCCUCCUGCUGUGGCCCUGGAUGGCCACUCUAGUGUGCCCUGUAGCCCCACUAAGCCCUGGCACCCGG
rnacentral:sRNA from 1 species